UCCUUUAUUCUAUUCUAUUUUCUUCAUAUUAAUCUCUAAUAGCAUCUUAUAGUCAUUCUAUUAUUUUCUUCAUCUCUCUUUUAUUCUUUUUAUUAUUGCCUACCAAGUGUCUAGUUCUUCAUCUCCACACUACACACUCUAAUUAUGUAGUUAAAUGUAAUUAAUGCUUUGCUAGUUUGCUAUCCCUUUGAAUUGAUUUUUAAUGGCAUCUAUAUUAUUUGGAUUAGUCUUCCUGUUAUCUUCCAUAUUAUCACUUUUGUUCCUAUUAUUUUUAUGAUUCUUUUUUCCAGCCUAAGAGAUAGAUUGACCGAGUGAAAUUUAUAGACCCAGGGCUAAUUAAUUGUAUUUGGGAUUUGUCUUUCUGUUAUCUUUUUUAUCUCCUUUGUUCCUAUUAUUACCAUGAUUCUUUUUUUGCCUAAGACUUAGAUUGAUAGAGUGAAACUUAUAUACCUAAGGCAAAUUAAUUUUGUUUUUUUCUCUGAGAUAUUCAAUCUUCUUUUUUACUUUUAAGCUUUAUUUUGUAAUGUAACAUAAACAUAUUUUGUUUUGUAUACUAUUCUUGUAUAUAUAACUCAUCAUGCAUGAUAGUUGAUGAUUUUGAUUUGAGCCCCCCUCCCCUCCCCCUCUAUGCUCAAAUCCUAGCUUAGUAGGGCCUAUGUAUAUGC
rnacentral:lncRNA from 1 species